rnacentral:tRNA from 1 species
GAAGGUGUAGCUCAAAUGGUAGAGCGUACGCUUAGCAUGCACCAGGUCCUGGGUUCAAUCCCCAGUACCUGCG